AAUUUGAAAGCUGGCACCUCCGGUGUCCGCGUUGUAAUCUCGAGACGUGUUUUCCGUGCGGCUCUAUGGACAAGUCCCUUGGAAUAGGGCAUCGUAGAGGGUGAGAAUCCCGUACUUGCCAUGGAAGAACCGUGCUUUGCGAUACACGCUCUAAGAGUCGAGUUGUUUGGGAUUGCAGCUCAAAAUGGGGUGGUAGACUCCAUCUAAAGCUAAAUAUCGGGGAGAGACCGAUAGCGAACAAGUACCGUGAGGGAAAGAUGAAAAGCACUUUGGAAAGAGAGUUAAAAGUACGUGAAAUUGUCGAAAGGGAAGCACUUGAAGUCAGCCAUGCUGCUUGAGACUCAGCCUGGCCUUUGGGCUUGGUGUAUUUCUCGGGCAUUGGUCGGUGGCAAUUGGGUCGUCGGAGAAGCGCAUAGGGAAUGUAGCGUUUCCGGACGUGUUAUAGCCUUAUGCAGGAUACGACGACCUGGAUCAAGGAACGCAGUGUGCCCUCUGGGCGGG
rnacentral:rRNA from 1 species